UAAGGCGAGGCCGACAGGCGUAGUCGAUGGAUGACGGGUUGAUAUUCCCGUACCCGUGUGCGUGCGACAAGUGAUGAAUCUUAUGGUACUAACCGCCCGCCUACGUGCACUGGUCUUUUUGGUUGGUGUGUGUGGGUGCGUGGGAUCUUCGUGGGUAGUAGUCAAGUGAUGGGGUGACGCAGAGUGGUAGCUAGGCUUCCUUAUUGGAUUGGAGUGCAAGCGUGUGGCCUGUGGGGUUGGGAAAUCCGCCCCGCAUUAUGGGUGAGGCGUGAUGCGGACACCAUGUUGUGGUGGUAGUUAGUGUGCCUGUGCUGUCUAGAAAAGCCUCUAGCGAGUGCGUGCAUGGCCCGUACCGGAAACCGACACAGGUGGUCAGGUAGAGAAUACUAAGGCGUUCGGGUGAACUGUGGUUAAGGAACUCGGCAAAAUGCCCCCGUAACUUCGGGAGAAGGGGGACCAUUACUGGUUGCUGACAGCAUGAUGGCUGGUGGUGGUCGCAGAGGAGAGAGGGAAGCGACUGUUUAUUAAAAACACAGGUCCGUGCGAAAACGUGGAAGUUGAGGUAUACGGACUGACGCCUGCCCGGUGCUGGAAGGUUAAGAGGACCCGUGAGCACGCCUAGUGUGUGCGAGGCGGAGAAUUGAAGCCCCAGUAAACGGCGGUGGUAACUAUAACCAUCCUAAGGUAGCGAAAUUCCUUGUCGGGUAAGUUCCGACCUGCACGAAUGGCGUAACGACUUCCCUGCUGUCUCAACCACAGGCCCGGUGAAAUUGCAGUACGAGUAAAGAUGCUCGUUUCGCGCGGCAGGACGAAAAGACCCCGGGACCUUUACUAUAGCUUGGUAUUGGUGUUUGGUCAUGCUUGUGUAGGAUAGGUGGGAGACUGUGAAGCUUCAACGCUAGUUGUGGUGGAGUCGCAGGUGAAAUACCACUCUGGUGUGAUUGGGUACCUGAACCUUGGCCCGUGAUCCGGGUUGGGGACAGUGCCUGGUGGGUAGUUUAACUGGGGCGGUUGCCUCCUAAAUGGUAACGGAGGCGCCCAAAGGUUUCCUCAGUCUGGUUGGCAAUCAGAUGGUGAGUGUAAGUGUAUAAGGGAGCUUGACUGUGACACUGACGGGUGGAGCAGGUGCGAAAGCAGGGACUAGUGAUCCGGCAUCUACGUGUGGUUGUGGUGUCGCUCAACGGAUAAAAGGUACCCCGGGGAUAACAGGCUGAUCUUCCCCAAGAGUUCAUAUCGACGGGAUGGUUUGGCACCUCGAUGUCGGCUCGUCGCAUCCUGGGGCUG
rnacentral:rRNA from 1 species